rnacentral:lncRNA from 1 species
CUCAUCUGCCGGCUGGCUGGCCUAGACACUCGCUCACACACGCGCUCAUUCAUGCGCACGGGUCCUCCCCCAUUCAUUCAAGCGUGCCUGGAGAGCCAUGGUGGGUGUCCCUGGGGGCGGGGAUGAAGAGAGCAGACAUCACGGUUGCCAGAUAGCUUUGGUGCCUGUAUUCAAGGCCUGCGGGAAACAGCGACUGGGAAAGAGAAUGCUUUAAUAUAACCCCUUGCCUUAGGCACACACAUGUCCGCACUUUAUUUCUGAGACCAGACUCCAACUCAUCUUUCAGAAUCCAAUUUCACGCAGCACCUGCUCCACAGUGCCUUUCCCCGCCCACCUGAGGCCAGAGAGAAGAUUCAUUGCUCAGAGGGCUACUGGCGCUGAUGGUGGGCGGCUCCCUCGUUAGCCAGAACAUAGAGAUAAGAGGGUGUGGCCAGAGCGAGGGAUGCUCUGUAUCUCUCCACUUAGGCUUCCUUGGGGAAAACGAAGUUUCCAGAAGACAAGCACCUGUAAUUCAACCCUGUGAGGGAAAUGUGUUGACCCAGGUUCCGGAGUUCCUCUCCCAGACUGUGGAGGGCGAUUUGGAAGUGUCUGCAUGAAGUAGCUGCUAGACGCAGAGGCAUCAUAGUCUCAUGGUAACAGCCUGUGGUACGACUGGAGUCAAAACAAGAGGUAAGAUGAAACGAGAGUGGGUACUUAGGGUCUUGGAGAGCCUCCAAAGGCUUGGCUUUUCCCCAAGAUCAGUUUGGCAGGCCUCUUGACCUUCACAGAUUUGCUGUCCAGAAAGAUAAUCCGGUGGCGGUGUGGAUAGAUGGAUGAAUAGCACAGGACAGCUUGGAAGCUGCCUCAGAAGUCCAAGACGUAAACGAUGCUUUGCCAAUUAGGACAGCUCAGUGGUGUGGCAAAGGGGUAUCCUGAGCAAGUAUUUACAGCGCUCGCGAUUUGUGCUACUUCAUCUGUGUCUGCAUGUCUGUCUCUUUGUACCUGUGUGUCUCUGUCCUUGGGACUGCACAGUUAAAAGAAUGUGAUGUGACCCAUGCACAUAUUUCCUUGUUCCCCUCGAGUCCCCUCCCUCCUCAGGACGCUUCUGGAGUACGUGCUCUGACCUCGGCUGUGGUGCUGACAGAGCUGGACAGCAAGAAAUGAGGACGGAGGAAAACUCAGAGCAAAGGGGAACUUAAGCAAGACUUUGCAAGGACUGGAGAGGUGACUCAGAUGGUUAAGAGUACUUUCAGUUCAACUGGGUAGUGGUGAUGCACGCCUUUAAACCCCAGCCCUCAGAAGGCAGUGGCAGUCAGAUCUCUGAGUUCAAGGCCAGCCUAGUCUACAGAGUGAGUUCCAAUACAGCCGUGGCUACCCAGAGAAAACCUGUCUCAAAC